AGCGAACGCUGGCGGCAGGCCUAACACAUGCAAGUCGAACGGACCCUUCGGGGUUAGUGGCGGACGGGUGAGUAACACGUGGGGACGUGCCUUUAGGUUCGGAAUAGCUCCUGGAAACGGGUGGUAAUGCCGAAUGUGCCCUUCGGGGGAAAGAUUUAUCGCCUUUAGAGCGGCCCGCGUCUGAUUAGCUUGUUGGUGGGGUAAUGGCCCACCAAGGCUACGAUCAGUAGCUGGUCUGAGAGGAUGACCAGCCACAUUGGGACUGAGACACGGCCCAAACUCCUACGGGAGGCAGCAGUGGGGAAUCUUGCGCAAUGGGCGAAAGCCUGACGCAGCCAUGCCGCGUGUAUGAUGAAGGUCUUAGGAUUGUAAAAUACUUUCACCGGUGAAGAUAAUGACUGUAGCCGGAGAAGAAGCCCGGCUAACUUCGUGCCAGCAGCCGCGGUAAUACGAAGGGGGCUAGCGUUGCUCGGAAUUACAGGGCGUAAAGGGAGCGUAGGCGGACAUUUAAGUC
rnacentral:rRNA from 1 species